CUUGAGGGCUUGGCCCGUCACUGUCUUUUUUCUUUUUUCGGGUGGGGUGGAGAUGAGGGGGGCUAAGGGGCUACGGGGUGGAGGGCGUCGAGGACGGGAGUUGCUGCUGCACGGGCGGCGGGGCAGGGGUUGGCCGCCGCGGCGGCGGUGGUUGGGGGGUCGGUGCUGCGCAACACAUAUCCUCGGCCGCCCUACGAGGGCUUGAGGCCUAGGGCGCCUCUUUUUUUUUUCUCUUAGGGAGAGGGUUGGAAUAGGGGUGCGGCAAGAUUGGAGCGUGGGUACGGUGGUGGUGGAGGGAGGGGCCCGUCGUCCGCGGCGUCGGCGGCGUCGGCGGUGGAGGGAGGGGGCCGUCAUCCGCAGCAGCGGGUGUGGAGGAAGGCGGCCGUCUUCGUGACGGCGGGGGUAGAGGGAGGGGCGGUCUGCGUGGCAGCCGGGGUUGAAGGAGGGGCCGUCUUCGCGGCAGCGCUGAGGUGGAGGUCCGGCCCAGCGGUGCGCGGAGGUGGAGGGCCGAAGUGCCGCGACGGGGCAGCCAGAGGAGGCCGCCGGGGCAGCGGCAGGAAGAGGGCCUCGGGGUCGCGGGCCGCCGAAGGCAGCACGCGCGGUUAGUCCGGUGUGCCGGUGGGGGCAGCGGGAUCGUACGAACGAACCACCUCUGAUCCUCGUCGCUGUCUCUACGGCGGGGCGCCGGCUUGGGGACGGAGGCGAACCGAGGCAGGCGACGUCGUGUGGCCGAGAGGGGCAGCGGGUGGACGGUACAAGUACAGGUGUCCAUAUGAGACGUAAGCACACUUUAAUAAACUUUACUUCCUCUGCAAACCGACAUAACGGUCAAGUUCAAUUCAAGAGGGACGUCUAUGUAGUUAAAAAUAAAGGUACAUAACUCAAGAGAAUGUAUAAAGUAUACUACUACGUAGAGGGACCUAGUAUCGAUGUGGAAUGUUUGUUCCUCCGAAACUUUUUUUGGGUCCUACAUGUUUGAACUCAAUUCAAAGAAUCCGACCGCAUAGUUAAAGAGACAGUCAUGUGGUGAAUGGCUUGUCGGAGACGACGAUGAAGAAGUGGAGACAACAUCGAUCGACUACCACGAAGAAAAGUCGUCAAGUUCGAUGUUUACCUCGCAAGGUACGUCGUUGUAGUUGGGUUGCCCGUAUGCUACAGGCUGCUGCCGAUCCAAACCGCACGCAGAGAGGCCGCACGACCCGCACCACGGCUCUCACGACGUUAAGCUUCACCGACCCGUAAUUUAAAAUCUCUAACGAAAAAAUCAUGUAAGUCCCUUCAAAGAAAGAAGGAAAAACGUAAAACAGAUACGUGUAUGAAUCAAGUCUGAAGUCUCACCAAGACUGGAACCGAGGAGAGUGGACUUGUGAACGUGGUAAACAUUUUAUAUGUAUUUACUCACAGCAUUGAUCGUAAGUUUUUACUUAGGUCUUAUUCAUCCUUCUGUGGUGUUGGAGAAGGUACCCAAGGUCAUCGAGUUCGAAAAUUCUUUUAUGUAAACUGUGCUUCGAAAUAAGUAUGUCAACAUUAUCAAAAACUUCAUUAAAAUAGUGAAGACAUCGAAACGAAAAAAAAAACUUUACGAAACAAAACGUAUUGUUAACGAAACCGUCAUCGUUUUCCUUCAAAAGAGACCACCGUUCCCCGGUACGUCCGACAAAACAAUGAACGUUCCCUGGUACGUUCCUGGAUAGAUCGGCGAUUUGGUGUUGGCGAAGACCAGGCCGGCGGUAGUUGUGUGUGGCGGUGCCGGAUGACGACUGUGCUGGCGCGGAGGGGCUUCAGGUCCAACAAGGGGCUCGCUUGCACGUGGGAGUUGAGACAUCACGGACUCUUCGGUGUACCUUCGGGUUAGUACGCACGCAACCACAGGGGACUUAAGCAGUACCUCCAAAACUAAUCAAACCCAGUGAGGGGUGACGAGAAGAGGCACCGCCUAGGAGGAGACUGGCCGAAGGGGGUGGUGAUGACGUUAUGGAGGACUGAUGGGGGACGUAGUGGCCGUCGGCACCACCAGACGAGGAGGGCCUAACGUGAGUAGUCGUCCAGUUUGUGUUUCGAACACCGUCCAGCUGAUUUCUUCAACCUCGUUUUUUCCUCCGUGUUUUUUCAGUAAUGUCGUAGUAGGAAACUUCUUUCUUGUCUCUUGCAGGUCCACCAGAGAUGUAGUUACCUUCCUCCCGCUAGUUAGCCACGACGACGCUGCGACAGAAGUUGAGGACCUAGCCGCUUCUCCGCUCGACGAGUCCUAUCGGACCCCACCCUUGACUCCCGUACGCACUUCUUCUUGGCUCCACCUCGCGACUUCCGAGUGAACCCUACUCAGCGUGUUUUUUCCGUUUUUGUAGUUGUUUCUUCUACUGACUCUCGCGCUAGACGAGAAAUACGAAGGGAGACCACAUCGAGCUCAACUACCAAAAUGUCGACCGGAACGUACCAUCGUCUGCAAGAAAAAGGGACAAUUUUGACUAAGUCAGUCACCCGCGAACAAAUCGACAACGAAAUCGAAUCAACCAAAAGGCCAGACGGUAAAUCCCAUCGGGGCUAGCGAACAUUGUCAGGACCUCUGAACGCAACGAGGCAAAAAAAUAUUUUUACCCCGCCCCCUUUUGGGGAAAACUAGUUUU
rnacentral:rRNA from 1 species